CGCACAUUGCGCCCCUUGGUAUUCCAUGGGGCAUGCCUGUUCGAGCGUCAUUUGUACCCUCAAGCACUGCUUGGUGUUGGGCGUUUGUUCCGCCGCACGCGCGAACUCGCCUCAAAUGCAUUGGCAGCCAGCCGUCCCGUGUGGGAGCGCAGCACAAGAUGCGUGCCCGGCGGCGUACGGCGGCGUCCACCAGCCCCUUUCACGCUUGGCCUCGGAUCAGGUAGGGAUACCCGCUGAACUUAA
rnacentral:misc_RNA from 1 species